rnacentral:misc_RNA from 1 species
AGUAUCCGACAAUAUCUUUAAACUUGCGGCAAUUAUAAUAAUUCCUAAGGCAUCUGUAAUAAUUCUUCGGGAAAGAGGAUAGACCACGCGCGAGAAAAUGAUAUUGAAGUGAAGUUUGACUUGGGAUGUAGCGAAGAAGAUGGUGAGUCAAACUCGAUGACUCAAUAGAUCAUGCAUCAGCUUCCCCGAAGGAGAACUAAGCGGAUAUUACGCUGGGGCUGUAUCCUUUUCGUAGGAAUGAUUGAUCGCGCGUGUAUGCCCGUCUCAGGGGAGCGUGUGGACCACCACCUCUUCGUGAAGUGUCUGGUGAUACAAUGCGGCGUCGCACGACGCGGUGUCGCGUCGUCAUUCUUUCGAAUUUCGAAUUUCGAAUUUCGAGUGCACACAGCACAGCUACCAGUUACCGUGUGACGUACUGACGCGAUGGUGUGUGUACCGUACAGAAAAGCAGCAUUCAUAAAAUAUAU